rnacentral:rRNA from 1 species
UACGUAGGGUGCGAGCGUUGUCCGGAAUUACUGGGUGUAAAGGGUGCGCGGGCGGAUUUGCGCGUCGAAGGUUAAAGACCUUGGCUUAACCAAGGGAGUGCCCUCGAUACGGCAAGUCUUGAAUAUGAGAGAGGAUGGUAGAAUUCCUGGUGUAGCGGUGAAAUGCGUAGAUAUCAGGAGGAAUACCGGUGGCGAAGGCGGCCAUCUGGCUCAUUAUUGACGCUUAGGCACGAAAGCGUGGGGAGCGAACAGGAUUAGAUACCCUGGUAGUCCACGCCCUAAACGAUGUAUGCUUGGUGUUGGGCCCUACGGGGUUCAGUGCCGAAGAAAACUCGAUAAGCAUACCACCUGGGGAGUACGAUCGCAAGGUUGAA